AUGCAAGUCGAACGGACGGAUCUGCAAGUCUUCGGAUGAGCAGUGAAGUUAGUGGCGAACGGGUGAGUAACACGUAGGUGACCUGCCCCGAAGUGGGGGAUAAUCCUUCGAAAGGAGGACUAAUCCCGCAUGGUCUCCGUGGGGUUUGAGGACACGGAGUAAAGCCUUGGCGCUUUGGGAGGGGCCUGCGGCCGAUUAGCUAGUUGGUGGGGUAAUGGCUCACCAAGGCGACGAUCGGUAGCUGGUCUGAGAGGACGAUCAGCCACACUGGCACUGGGACACGGGCCAGACUCCUACGGGAGGCAGCAGUGAGGAACCUUGCGCAAUGGGCGAAAGCCUGACGCAGCAACGCCGCGUGGGUGAUGAAGGCCUUCGGGUCGUAAAACCCUUUUCUGGGGGACGAGAGAGGACGGUACCCCAGGAAUAAGUCUCGGCUAACUACGUGCCAGCAGCCGCGGUAAAACGUAGGAGGCAAGCGUUAUCCGGAUUCAUUGGGCGUAAAGCGCGCGCAGGCGGCUCUGUAAGUCGGGCGUGAAAGCCCCUGGCUCAACUGGGGGAGGCCGUUCGAAACUACAGGGCUAGAGGUCGGCAGAGGGAAGCGGAACUCCCGGUGUAGUGGUGAAAUGCGUAGAUAUCGGGAGGAACCUCGGUGGCGAAAGCGGCUUCCUGGGCCGCACCUGACGCUAAGGCGCGAAAGCGUGGGGAGCGAACGGGAUUAGAUACCCCGGUAGUCCACGCCCUAAACGAUGGCAACUAGGUGUUGGGGGCUACUAACCCCCUCAGUGCCGAAGCUAACGCGAUAAGUUGCCCGCCUGAAGACUACGAGCGCCAAGCUUAAAA
rnacentral:rRNA from 1 species